CACGCUAGUCAAGGUGCGGAAUGGAGCACCUGGCGUACGGCUCAGUAACACGUAGUCAACCUACCCUAAGGACGAGGACAACCACGGGAAACUGUGGAUAAUACUCGAUAAGAAAUUUGGCCUGGAACGGUAUCUUUCACAAAACCGGCUCGCCGUGAGACACGGGCCUUAGGAUGGGGCUGCGGCCGAUUAUGCUAGAUGGCGGUGUAAAGGACCACCAUGGCUACGAUCGGUAUGGGCGGUGGAAGUCGGAGCCCAGAGUCGGCUACUGAGACAAGGAGCCGAGCUUUACGAAGCUUAGCGGUCGCGAAAACUCGCCAAUGCACGAAAGUGUGAGUGGGCUACUCCAAGUGUCAUUCUUACGGAUGACUGUCGCUCAGUCUUACCAGCUGAGAAAGGAAGGAGAGGGCAAGGCUGGUGCCAGCCGCCGCGGUAAAACCAGCUCUUCGAGUGGUCAGGACGAAUAUUGGGUCUAAAGCGCUCGUAGCCGGACAAGUAGGUUCUUGGUUAAACCCGACAGCAUAACUGUUGGCCUGCUGGGAAUACCGCUAGUCUUGGAAGCGGGAGAGGACAGAGGUAGUCAUAGGGCAGGGGUGAAAUCCAGUGAUCCUAUGGCGACCACCGAUGGCGAAGGCAUCUGUCUGGAACGUAUUCGACGGUGAGGGGCGAAAGCUAGGGGAGCGACCCGGAUUAGAUACCCGGUUAGUCCUAGCCGUAAACGAUGCGGACUAGGUGUUACAGCGGCCAAG
rnacentral:rRNA from 1 species